UGUCGCCAACUCCUCAGUAAGGAAAGUCGCUAGUGGCUGUCGUAGAGGCCGGUAGAAGUUGCAAGAUGACGGCAUCACCAAAUUUGCAUAAUUUUUCAGUUAACAUUGAUACUUGCUUUCAUGUCAGAGACGCCAAACUCCAGAAAACGUUGGUAGAUUUGUCGCUAGCUGCUUUUUCGAAAAUAACUCGCUAGGGGGGUCUGAAAAGUCGCUAAAUCUAAGUUGGUCACACUGGAGGCAAACCUUUAGCUUAUUCGCAAAUAGCUGCUGUGUCCCUGUAUUUCAGUCAAGUCGGCUUUGCCUCUGAUUCACCAACCUUGUCACCUUAAUAUUUUCAAAACGAGCAUUACAUCAAAACUCGCUUCCCAUACAAUGAGUGCCACGGAAGCCCUGAGCUAUUCAGACCAAAACCACUUUCAAACCAGGCUGUAAACAUGUUUACUUUUACUCUUAAGGUAGUCCUUGUGUAUUUGUUUCAUGAAGACUAGAGGUUGUUGCUUUAAUCAAAAAAAACUUUUGAAAUACCAGGUUUUCAACGAUAUUCAAUCAACAUCAACAUUCUUGCCCGAGGAGAAAUCCGCAUCAUCUGAAUUCAGAAGCUGUAGUGAAUUUGCCGAUGUGAGGAAGAACAUACUGUUUAAAACUACACACAAUGUGCCAAAGAAAAAAAAAGUGUGAUAUAUAUCUAACUGUGGGUGUUACAGUUAUUGCGAAGACUUCAUCAGACCUUCAAAGCUUUCCGAGAGCGUCUGAGCAGCUGGGAAUGCAUACAUUAACUUGACAGAUAACCAGCCCGAAAGGUUCACAUUAUAUCAGUAAACUUUUAAACGAUAGACAAUAGUUCUUUCUUUUCCUUUAGCUGCUUCUAAAGCAGGUCCUUUUUUUUUUAGACUGAGGCGAUUCGAUAGUGAAGAGACUCAUGCCAUCUACAAAAAAAAAAACAGCCUCAAAAUCAUAUGGAGCCUCUCAAAAGCAAAACAAGCCCUUCAGCAUAUGUGAAUAUAAACACUGGCAUGCUGUUAUGAUGAAACAGGCUGUGACAGGAGGGGCAUGAAAGAUAUGUUUAUACCCAACCACACAGGCCCUACACAUGAAAGAAGCACAAGCACACAAAAAAGUCUAAUGCUUGUAUUGCAGUACCUUCGGCGGCUGCCUUUUCUAAUCUAUCAGUUGUGUAGAUGACCUGUCAGGUCCUUUCUUGGUUUAGGGGGCGGUCGCACAAAGGCCUGUCAGAAAGCACAGCCACAAUGUUUUAAGUUUGAUGUGUUUACAACUUCACUACAUCAUGCAUUUGUCAAAAAUUGUGGAAAAACAUUAUUUUGGUGCGAAAGUUAUUGUAGAAGCAACUCCUCAACAACAUCAGCAGAACUGUUUAAAGUCUCUGAAACCCUACAGAGAGCUAACCCUCCAUUGAACCGAGAUAUUUCGUAAAUGUCCACCGUGUUUAUCUGCAUAUUUCUACCGGAGUGGCUAUGAUGUGCAUACACAUCUAUUACUCUACUCCCAAAAUGAGUUUGCAUGAAUUAGAUGUCUGUUUGAGCGCACAUCUUGACCACCCUGUCCUUGACUCUACCUCUCUUCAUUUGACUACGUCUGCCAGGGCCGCCUGAGGCAAUGUCGCUCCAGCAUCAGACCUGUCUAGUCAAGAAAAUCGACUGGAGCCUUUAGCCCUGUGGGGAUCUCUCUCUCCCUACAGGGCUGAAAGCCGGUGGUUGAGUGCCUUAUAUAUCUCUUCCACUUGCUGUUCACUCGCCCCUGGUCAUAGUGACUCAGCUGAGCACAUGGCUCAGUCACCACCAUGAGAGAACAUGACGAAGCACAGUCAGAAACAUACUGAAACAGUUUGUUUCACUUUUUUGAAUAUUGGUGUUAGUAUUUAUAAACGAUUAAGUCUCAAUCCCAUUCCUGAUUAUUUAGUCUACGACCUUUUGCCUUUUGGUGCAGAGUUAAAGGGAAAAUCCUGCUGUGCCACCAACUGCUGUUUAGCUUGCUUUGCUAAAAGACUAGUAUAUGAAAGGGCAACGCCAUGAUGAAACAUAAAAUCAGGAAGAAUUCAGUGGUUGUGCUGAAUUUCAAACCCAAUUCCCAUUUGUAAACACUGGGUUAGGGCCAAGUGGUGCAGGCAAGGCUGGAAUAGGGAUGGAUUGAUCAUAUAGAUCGAAUUUAGAGUAGAUCAUAGAUCUAUUUUGUGAGAUCGAAAUUGCAUAGUUUGUGUCGACAGAGCACUAUCAUCUAUCUUCUUCUCCUUGCUUGUCUUGGCACGAGCCACAGUGGCAGCAGGGUAAGCCAAGAAUUUCUCCCCAUGCUCUUCCUCAAGGGCUUCCUGGAAGUUCCUGAGGCAUUCCAAGGCCAGUUCAGAUAAAUAUUCCCAUCAGCAUAUUGUAAGUUAGUCCCCAGGAGUCUGCCAGGAGGAUAUCUUAAGACUACUGCACUGCCCUCUCAGGGACUGACCUUCCUAGAGGGCAUCCUUAUCAGACACCUGAAUCACAUCAGAUAGCGCCUUCCAGUCCAAAAGAGCAAUUCUGCAUCCAGCUCCCAACAGAUGUGUGUAGGCAACUAAUUUCAAACCCUUGUAUUUAUGUCGUCUCCUGUCACAAGAAUAGCCAGAUGAAGACGAAUGAUAACGCAAUUCACUGUCCUACAACUGGGAACAAUGAACAAUGGGAGAUGCAGUGUUUCUGUGAUUCCAAAGGUUUUUGAAAACUGGCCAGGCCUCUGUUUGAGCACCCUUGAUUCAGCUCACUCUCGGAGGCUGAGCUGUGCAAAAUCUCCCAGGAGGCACAGAUACACCUUAAAAUUCUCAGGUACCCAGAAAAUAUGAGGCAUUAGUUUGUCGGUUCAUUUGGACAGCCACAUGCAAUCACAGAAACUUUUUUCUACCGGUGUAUUUACUUGUUCAAAGACUUCCUGAAGUGCUUUUCCCCACCUGGUUACAGUUUUUGACCUAUAGUCCUUUAAAGUUAUGCAUGGAUCUCUUCAAUGCAAGAAACGUCAACAAUUGGGGGCCAAUAACCAACUGGACUAAACUCACUGACAUAUGGUCUAGGGCUGUUAUCAACCAAUGAAAUUCUUGGUUGAUUAAAACCCUGAAAUUUCUGACCAAAAAUAGACUUUUUCCGACUCAGACCAGCAGAACCUUCUGGAGUGCGACUCGGCAGGGUGAAAAUAUACCGAUAUCAGCACAAGAAGGGAAUUAAACACAAAAGGCUAAAAUAUAAAUAUUCAGCAAAACACCGAACAUUGCUUAACAUGACGCUCUUCAAUCUUCCUGUCUUUAGCCGGUCUCCAGUGGGUUGGGGCGAAUCCAAAAUGGUGAAAACAAGGGGGGUGUUCUGAGACAGACUGUUACUUGUGAAACAGGGGUGCUCUGAAAACACCCCCAUUAGCACUUGGUACUUUCCUGCUGAUGAAAUUAACCAGAGAUUGUAAAUUGAAAAAAAUCGAGUUGACCAAUCAGAAUUUUGGUCGACUCAGCACGUAUCGACCAAUAAGUCGACCAGUCGACUAGGACUUUAGAGCCCAAAUAUGGUCGUACAGAAGAUGAUUUCUAGCAACUGCACAGUCAUCGAUUAGCCUUGGGCUUGACCACGGCUUUUGGUAGAAGGUACACCUAUUUACAAACCUCACCCUUCCGCUCAGUCAAAGCCCAAUGGGAACCCAAGCUCUACAUAAUGUUUCAAACCAGCGCUGCCUCACAUUAUCACAGAGUUAAGGUCCUGAUGUCCUCAGUCUCUCCUGUGGGUAAUGCUCUUACUAAUGUCAAGUACCCUUAACACCCUGACUUUAAAAAAUCACUAAAUAAAUAAAAGAAGCAAUCUCUUUAAGACAUGGGAGUGUACAGCUAACUUCCUUUCCUGGGGGGCAGGGAUUAAGAGACAGACAUUGUCCUGGAAAAAUCCUGCACAUUUGGAUCUGCGGUCUUUUUACAGAGAUCUCAGACAAACAUGCUCAGUAACAACCAGUAUGACUAGUCUUUGAUUUCCUUAUGAGCAUCACAACUUGACUAUACCUAAAAUGUGACUUUAACAAUUAGAUAUUUUUACUUUAAGACUAAAACUAAGAACUCUGACAAACACAAACACACAAAAACCACAGAGCAGAGACAAAACACUGAUGCCUGCCUAAAUGUAUUAUCCAUUUGAUAUUUAAAUGCGGACUGGCAUCUUCCUGGAAUUUCCUGUCCUGCAAUUUGGCCUGGCAGGGAGCGAGAUGAGGGGGAAGGCAUUUGAAGCAUGGGAAGCUUAUAUAAGAGCUGGAUGGUCUUUUCCUUACUGAGCCUGUUAUGUUGUAGAAAUUAAGUACGGUUAUCUGUGCAUUUGCUUGUGUAUGUGUUUGAUUUCAAAUCCUGCCAUAUUUUGGGGGCAGUUUCUGGAUUUAAAAAGGUUGGUUUAGCUUAUACAACCUGAAAAAUGUUGUUUCUCAUUAGGAUUAUAUUAUAUUCAACACAAUCUGAAGUUGCUUUGUUGACAGGUGGAAUUGAAUAGUGGUCGGUUGAGGACUGGCUUUCGCUGGUGACUCUGUUUUGUUCCUCUUGGCUUGAAAAAAGUAACUGAGGUGAACUGGAAGCUCUCGAUUUAUGGAAAUGUGGUGCUGAGAGUCAUGAGGUUAAUAAGUGGGUCUCGUAAUAGACUGGCAGUCUCAGAAAGAUGUGCCAUCUCUUCCAUCCAAUACAAAACUGAAGUGGAUAACAGGUUUUGGAAAUGGACAGAUAGAUGAUUGCGUUGACAUUUUGUUAAGUACCAUGUCAGCGAAGGUUUGGACUAGCAUUCACUUUGGGAACAUUACUAUGAUUCAAAAUUGACCUUUCACAGUUUGAGCUUCAUUUUAUCCACAUAACUUUUGUUUGAACUUUAUUUCCAAAAUUUACAAAACAGAAAUUUUUAAGCGAUGGGACAACAGCAGCACCACCAAGGUCAACAAGUCGUUUGCCAUUUCGCCUGUGUUCAAUGGGGAUUAUCUUGAAGCCGCUGUCACAGUCAUGAGUGAAAAAUGCUGUCAGCUUUCUGACAUAAUCAUUUAUAAAUAUAAAUGUCACUGCAGAUGUUGGGACAAGCAGUCAUUGAAUUCAAAUGGCUGUCUGUGUCAAGUCAAGGGAUUAAUCACAUGAAUUGAUAGAAGGUCAAGGGUUUAAGGAGGUUUCUGCGUAAUUGUCAACUCUGAAUCUAAGAAAAAAAAAAAGCCCACUGAGUCUUUUGGCAUGAGAUGGCCUUUGGGAGUGUGCUUAGGAAAGCAGAAUUAAUUGAUGAGAUUCAUCUAAUCAUGCUACAGAUGUGGGUUUAACCAGAUCUGUUUAGAUUUGUUCUUCCAGUUUUGUCUCUGCCAUUUAAAAAAAA